rnacentral:misc_RNA from 1 species
UAUUAAUCAUAAUUUUUUUAUUCAUUCGUAUUUCAGAUAAAAAUGGCGGGAAAUGAAAAAUUUACUGAGCUAGCAUCGAAUCUAGUUGGUUCGACCUAUGCCAAGCAAGGACUUGAAGCAAGCAGUGUACGACAGGGAAAGCUUGCCACCUUGCUUCAGCAAGGCAAACUCCCGGACAAGGGUUGGAGUGAUCAGGAUAUAGAGCAAACUCUGCUAGAGUUGUCUAGUAUGGACAGUAACAACUUCCCCUCCAACUGUGGGGUUGGGGAGAGGGAGGCAAGAAUAUACUCGGGUAUAGUCAGGAGAAGACAUUUUGGUCUUGGUCAUGGUAUUGGUAGAUCAGGUGACAUUUGUGAGGUCCAGCCCAAGGCAGCAGGAUCAAGCAUCAUUAACAAGCUCACAAACAGUAUGUUGCUGGAUACUUUAAAACUUGGAGGAGUUAGUAGGGUCAAACAGUGCUUUUUAGUUCCAACAGCUACCGGGAUGGCUCUAACUCUUUGUAUGUUGUAUUUUAGAAAGAAAAGACCAAAGGCUAGGUAUGUUCUCUGGUCUAGGAUUGAUCAGAAGUCUUGUUUCAAGAGUAUACUAACUGCAGGUUGCACUCCAGUCAUACUUCAGCUUAAAAGGUUGGAUGACGAGCUUCAGACUGACCUGCACGCUUUAAAAUUGAAAGUUGAUGAACUUGGAGCUGAAAAUAUUAUAUGUAUUUUCUCGACAACAAGCUGUUUUGCCCCGAGAGCUCAUGACGAUCUACCUGAAAUCGGGAAAAUCUGCAAAGAGAAUAAUAUCCCGCACCUAGUGAAUAACGCCUACGGAGUUCAGAGCAGUAAAUGCUGUUUUCUUAUCGACGAGGCUGCCAGGGUUGGCCGGCUGGAUCUAUUCGUCCAGAGUACAGAUAAGAAUUAUCUUGUGCCGGUGGGAGGAGCUAUUAUAGCAGGGUUUGACCGGAAGAUAAUAGCUGAGGUCGGACAAACCUAUCCAGGUCGUGGAUCAGGGACCCCUAGCCUGGAUAUAUUUAUAACCCUCCUGGGACUGGGAGCUGCUGGGUUCAAGACCCUCCUCGCCACCAGGAAGAACAACUUCCUCCUGCUCCAGGAAAGGAUGGAGAGGAUUGCUGAGAGGUUUGGACUACACCUUCUCAAGACCAAGAAUAACACUAUAUCUAUCGCUCUAACUGUUGGGAGUGAGGGAAAGGCUGCCACUCAUCUGGGUUCUAUGCUGUUUACUCGCGGAGUCUCAGGCACCAGAGUUGUCACAAUGACCUCUAAGGAUAUCGAGGGGUACAGGUUUGAAGGGUGGGGUGGACACACUGGUCGACCUUUUAAUGCUUAUCUUACUGCAGCAGCAGCUAUUGGAAUGGAUCCAGAGGAUAUUGAUUCUUUUAUAAAACGUCUAGAGAAGGUUCUAGAGAAAUCAAGGUGUACGGCAUCUAAACUAGAAACCACACUAGGUCCUGAUGAGGAGGUGACGACAGCUAAUCAUAAUAACGGAUUAGAUAACUUAGAACAAAUAACAGGAGAGCUGAUGCUUUAAACAGUUUGUAAGGAAGACAUGCAAACAAAACUGAGUAUUAGUGGUACAUUUAACCCCAAAACGGCGUAUCAGUUAAGUGUGUUCGUGAAUAUGAAAGGGUUGUUUGAUAUUCAUUCGAAUCAAAUUAGAACUCGAUUGGUGUCGUUUUUAUUUCUAUUCGAUGUUUAUUCCAGGAAAAAUUGAUUUCGACCGCACUUACCAAAGACUUGAGAAAUUCAUUAGGUAUAAUAUCUAGAAUAGAACCUAUUAUUGCGUUUGUUCAAUAAACCCAUAAACUUAUCACGGGUUUAUUUUUAAUCAAACUCCUUCCUAUAAAUUCGUAUUUCCAGUCAGAAAAUUUAAAGUUGUGUGGAGUACCUAAGAUUAUUUUAUGCUUCAAAGAAGCUAAAAUUACAUAAUUCAUUUUUUGGAAAUUUUCCAUUUAUCUUAUUGAUUUUUGCUAGCUAGUUUAAAAGAGAAAAAUUAUAAGAAAAUAUGUAUUAAAAUUAUCAUAAAUAAUGGCAGAGAACUCUUAACGAUAAGCUAAGUUUAAUUUUUUAGUUUUUAUUAAUAUUUAUCUAUCGUGCUCAACUCAUAUAUUACUUUCUGGUCGUACUGAAUCCUGAUCGCUUAUAUAGCUGAUAUAAGGACUAGAGACGUAAUUUCACAUGACUCUCAUCUCUAAAGGGGCACGGCCGAUUCACAAUGGUAAUAUAUUAACUUGUAAAGCUUUGUUUUAUAUGGGUGUAAGAGAUAUCCAUCGUCUCCUUUUGAAAAACUGAUUAUUUUUAAUGAAUAUUGCGUAUUUCUUAAUUUGAAACAAUAUGGAGAAAAUGGUCUUAGAUAAACACUUUUCAAAGAGGAAGAAAGACUAUAUCUUCUACAUUUUAAUCAUAAAAGGUGGUAAAGUGGGUCAUGCUCAUCUUUUAAUUUAAGGUCACUUGAAAUUACGUUCAAUCCCGUAAAUACCUCAAUUUGGUCUUCUUGGGAAAACUGUGAAUUUUGAACGCAAUCGAUGACUACAUUUAAGACUACAUUUUGUAAAUGUUAAGAACAAGAGUCUUUUAUAUUAUAGUCCAUAAAGUCAUACAAAAAUAACGAUCAAGUUCAGUUGGACACUAAGAAAGAUUGUAGAUGUUUUGUGAAAUAUUUAGAACAAUUAUUUGCAUUUGACUUUACUAAGAGAUCAUUAUUAAACCCCAGUGCGCUUGAAGUAAUUGAUCAUAUUGUUUCUACAUAUCUUGUUAUUGUCUUGUUAUACAAGUUUAAUUCAUGUUCUUUAUUAUUGAAUAUACAGUUGGUGAAUUCA